UGGGGAAUAUUGGACAAUGGGCGCAAGCCUGAUCCAGCCAUGCCGCGUGAGUGAUGAAGGCCUUAGGGUUGUAAAGCUCUUUUGUCCGGGAAGAUAAUGACUGUACCGGAAGAAUAAGCCCCGGCUAACUUCGUGCCAGCAGCCGCGGUAAUACGAAGGGGGCUAGCGUUGCUCGGAAUCACUGGGCGUAAAGGGCGCGUAGGCGGACUUUUAAGUCGGAGGUGAAAGCCCAGGGCUCAACCCUGGAAUUGCCUUCGAUACUGGGAGUCUUGAGUUCGGAAGAGGUUGGUGGAACUGCGAGUGUAGAGGUGAAAUUCGUAGAUAUUCGCAAGAACACCGGUGGCGAAGGCGGCCAACUGGUCCGAAACUGACGCUGAGGCGCGAAAGCGUGGGGAGCAAACAG
rnacentral:rRNA from 2 species